CCACAUUUGUCUUAUUAAUAUAGUGGGUGGGGUAUUUGUGCCAUCCGCAAAAGAUCCUGCAAUGGUUUAUUGUUCGCUCGCAUUCAAACGUUACUUACUCUUUAUAGAUACUAUCUGUCACUGCUGGAUCUUUUUCUCUCUCGUCGUCCCCAUCAUCUCUCUACCACACUCCAUCCAAUCUCUUUAACCUCCUUUACCUUCCCUUCUCUUCGUCCUAUCUCUUCACCUUUUCUCUCACUCAAAAAGUUAAUAAUUAAUUAACUAAUUUAAAUAUUCAAGUAAUGAUAUACAUAUUAUAUUGUUCUAAAAUGCUGAUAAAUAUGCACUAGAUGUGUCUAUAUAAUGGCAUAAAUGAAUUCAAAUCAUGAUAUGCGAUUGAGCGUAUUGAGAAAUCUAUAUGCAUCUUUGAUACCGACAUCAACUAUAAAUAUGACUCCACUUCAGAAUACUGCAAUAUAGAUAAACAAUUAUAAACAUCUCAAAAAUCAUAUUUUUCACUUUUAUACGUGGUAUAUCACUCCACUUCAGAAUAGUUGAUCAUAACGUAUCUUGCUGUCCUAAUAUAUGUUAGAAAUACGAAAGUCUUCACACUCGGCAGAAUAGUUCUAAUUUUAAAUAUUAUUAUUAUAAAAAUUAU
rnacentral:lncRNA from 1 species